rnacentral:rRNA from 1 species
UACGAAGGGGGCUAGCGUUGUUCGGAAUCACUGGGCGUAAAGAGCACGUAGGCGGAUCUUUAAGUCAGGGGUGAAAUCCCGAGGCUCAACCUCGGAACUGCCUUUGAUACUGGAGGUCUCGAGUCCGGGAGAGGUGAGUGGAACUGCGAGUGUAGAGGUGAAAUUCGUAGAUAUUCGCAAGAACACCAGUGGCGAAGGCGGCUCACUGGCCCGGUACUGACGCUGAGGUGCGAAAGCGUGGGGAGCAAACAGG